CUACGUGCCAGCAGCCGCGGUAAUACGGAGGGUGCGAGCGUUAAUCGGAAUAACUGGGCGUAAAGGGCACGCAGGCGGUGACUUAAGUGAGGUGUGAAAGCCCCGGGCUUAACCUGGGAAUUGCAUUUCAUACUGGGUCGCUAGAGUACUUUAGGGAGGGGUAGAAUUCCACGUGUAGCGGUGAAAUGCGUAGAGAUGUGGAGGAAUACCGAAGGCGAAGGCAGCCCCUUGGGAAUGUACUGACGCUCAUGUGCGAAAGCGUGGGGAGCAAACAGGAUUAGAUACCCUGGUAGUCCACGCAGUAAACGAUGUCGAUUUGGGGGUUGAGCUUUGAGCUUGGCGCCCGUAGCUAACGUGAUAAAUCGACCGCCUGGGGAGUACGGCCGCAAGGUUAAAACUCAAAUGAAUUGACGGGGGCCCGCACAAGCGGUGGAGCAUGUGGUUUAAUUCGAUGCAACGCGAAGAACCUUACCUACUCUUGACAUCCAGA
rnacentral:rRNA from 1 species